rnacentral:rRNA from 1 species
UACGUAGGGGGCUAGCGUUGUCCGGAAUCAUUGGGCGUAAAGCGCGUGUAGGCGGUUCGGUAAGUCCGCUGUGAAAGUCGGGGGGCUCAACCCUCGGAUGCCGGUGGAUACUGUCGGGCUUGAGGUACGGAAGAGGCGAGUGGAAUUCCUGGUGUAGCGGUGAAAUGCGCAGAUAUCAGGAGGAACACCAAUUGCGAAGGCAGCUCGCUGGGACGUUACUGACGCUGAGACGCGAAAGCGUGGGGAGCAAACAGG